rnacentral:snRNA from 1 species
CAACAUAUUGUUGAACGUUUUCA